rnacentral:rRNA from 1 species
UACGUAGGGCGCGAGCGUUGUCCGGAAUUAUUGGGCGUAAAGAGCUCGUAGGCGGCCUGUUGCGUCCGCUGUGAAAUCCCGGGGCUCAACCCCGGGCUUGCAGUGGAUACGGGCUGGCUAGAGGCAGGCAGGGGAGAACGGAAUUCCCGGUGUAGCGGUGAAAUGCGCAGAUAUCGGGAGGAACACCGGUGGCGAAGGCGGUUCUCUGGGCCUGUACUGACGCUGAGGAGCGAAAGCGUGGGGAGCAAACAGG